GGUUUCGUGGUGUAGUUGGUAGCACACCAGUUGAACACACUGACGGUCUCCGGUUCGAGCCUGGCAACAUUG